rnacentral:rRNA from 1 species
CCUACGGGGAGCAGCAGUAGGGAAUCUUCCACAAUGGGCGCAAGCCUGAUGGAGCAACUCCGCGUGAGUGAAGAAGGGUUUCGGCUCGUAAAGCUCUGUUGUUAGAGAAGAACGUGCGUGAGAGUAACUCUUCACGCAGUGACGGUAUCCAACCAGAAAGCCACGGCUAACUACGUGCCAGCAGCCGCGGUAAUACGUAGGUGGCAAGCGUUAUCCGGCUUUAUUGGGCGUAACGCGAGCGCAGGCGGUCGAUUAAGUCUGAUGUGAAAGCCUUCGGCUUCACCGAAGAAGUGCAUCUGAAACCGGGAGACUUGAGUGCAGAAGAGGAGAGUGGAACUCCAGGUGUAGCGGUGAAAUGCGUAGAUAUAUGGAAGAACACCAGUGGCGAAGGCGGCUGUCUGGUCUGCAACUGACGCUGAGGUUCGAAAGCGUGGGUAGCGAACAGGAUUAGAUACCCGUGUAGUC